UUUCUGUAGGGUUGACCUGCGGAGGGAUCAUUACUGAGUUUACGCUCUAUAACCCUUUGUGAACAUACCUAUAACUGUUGCUUCGGCGGGUAGGGUCUCCGCGACCCUCCCGGCCUCCCGCCUCCGGGCGGGUCGGCGCCCGCCGGAGGAUAACCAAACUCUGAUUUAACGACGUUUCUUCUGAGUGGUACAAGCAAAUAAUCAAAACUUUUAACAACGGAUCUCUUGGUUCUGGCAUCGAUGAAGAACGCAGCGAAAUGCGAUAAGUAAUGUGAAUUGCAGAAUUCAGUGAAUCAUCGAAUCUUUGAACGCACAUUGCGCCCGCCAGCAUUCUGGCGGGCAUGCCUGUUCGAGCGUCAUUUCAACCCUCAAGCUCUGCUUGGUGUUGGGGCCCUACAGCUGAUGUAGGCCCUCAAAGGUAGUGGCGGACCCUCCCGGAGCCUCCUUUGCGUAGUAACUUUACGUCUCGCACUGGGAUCCGGAGGGACUCUUGCCGUAAAACCCCCCAAUUUCCAAAGGUGACCUCGGAUCAGGAGGAUGCAUA
rnacentral:rRNA from 1 species